rnacentral:rRNA from 1 species
ACCCGCUGAACUUAAGCAUAUCAAUAAGCGGAGGAAAAGAAACCAACAGGGAUUACCUCAGUAACGGCGAGUGAAGCGGUAACAGCUCAAAUUUGAAAUCUGGGUCUUUUAGGCUCCGAGUUGUAAUUUGUAGAAGAUGCUUUGGGUGUAGCUCCGGUCUAAGUUCCUUGGAACAGGACGUCAUAGAGGGUGAGAAUCCCGUAUGUGACUGGUUGCUUUCGCCUAUGUAAAGCUCUUUCGACGAGUCGAGUUGUUUGGGAAUGCAGCUCUAAAUGGGAGGUAUAUUUCUUCUAAAGCUAAAUAUUGGCCAGAGACCGAUAGCGCACAAGUAGAGUGAUCGAAAGAUGAAAAGCACUUUGGAAAGAGAGUUAAACAGUACGUGAAAUUGUUGAAAGGGAAGCGCUUGCAACCAGACUUGCAUGCUAUCAAUCAUCCUGAGUUUUCUCUGGUGCACUUGGUAGUGUUCAGGCCAGCAUCGGUUUCAGUGGUGGGAUAAAGGCUUAGAGAAUGUGACUCCUCUCGGGGAGUGUUAUAGCUCUAGGUGCAAUGCCGCCUAUUGGGACCGAGGACCGCGCUUCGGCUAGGAUGCUGGCGUAAUGGUUGUAAGCGACCCGUCUUGAAACACGG